rnacentral:rRNA from 1 species
CAAUAGCGUAUAUUAAAGUUGUUGCAGUUAAAAAGCUCGUAGUUGGAUCUGUGGUGUGCGGUGGGCUCCGGGCGCUUGUUGUCUGAGUAGCUCGCCGCUGCCAUCCUUGGUGGAACCUGUGUGGCAUUAGGUUGUCGUGCAGGGGAUGCCCAUCGUUUACUGUGAAAAAAUUAGAGUGUUCAAAGCAGGCUUAUGCCGUUGAAUAUAUUAGCAUGGAAUAAUGAGAUAGGACUUUUUCGCUAUUUUGUUGGUUUGCGCGAAGAGGUAAUGAUUAAUAGGGACAGUUGGGGGUAUUCGUAUUCCAUUGUCAGAGGUGAAAUUCUUGGAUUUUUGGAAGACGAACUACUGCGAAAGCAUUUACCAAGGAUGUUUUCAUUAA